rnacentral:rRNA from 1 species
UACGUAGGGGGCAAGCGUUGUCCGGAGUUACUGGGCGUAAAGCGCACGCAGGCGGUCUUUUAAGUUUGGAGUGACAGUUGGUGGCUUAACUGCCAAAGUGCUUCGAAAACUGAAAGACUUGAGGGCUUCAGAGGGACACGGAAUUCCGGGUGGAGUGGUGAAAUGCGUAGAGAUCCGGAGGAACACCGGUGGCGAAGGCGGCUCUCUGGACCGACACUGACGCUGAGGAGCGAAAGCCAGGGGAGCAAACGGG